rnacentral:rRNA from 1 species
GACGAACGCUGGCGGCGUGCCUAAUACAUGCAAGUUGAGCGCUGAAGGUUGGUACUUGUACCAACUGGAUGAGCAGCGAACGGGUGAGUAACGCGUGGGUAAUCUGCCUUUGAGCGGGGGACAACAUUUGGAAACGAAUGCUAAUACCGCAUAAAAACUUUAAACACAAGUUUUAAGAUUGAAAGAUGCAAUUGCAUCACUCAAAGAUGAUCCCGCGUUGUAUUAGCUAGUUGGUGAGGUAAAGGCUCAACAAGGCGAUGAUACAUAGCCGACCUGAGAGGGGGAUCGGCCCAAUUGGGACUGGGACACGGCCCAAGAUCCUUAGGGAAGCAACAGUAGGGGAACUUCGGCAAAGGAGGGAAGUCUGACCGGACAAAGCCGGGUGAGUGAAGAAGGUUUUCGGAUCGUAAAACUCCGUUGGUAGGGGAGAACGUAGGUGGGAGUGAAAAGCUCAUCAAGUGACGGUAACUAAUCAGAAAGGGACGGCUAACUACGUG